GACGGAGGGUGCGAGCGUUGUUCGGAUUGACUGGGCGUAAAGGGCGUGUAGGCGGUUGGUCAAGUCUGAUGUGAAAGCCCGGGGCUCAGCUCCGGAAGUGCAUCGGAAACUAGCUGGCUGGAGCGCGAUAGAGGAGGGUGGAAUUCCUGGUGUAGCGGUGAAAUGCGUAGAUAUCAGGAGGAGCACCGAUGGCGAAGGCAGGUCUCUGGGCCGAUACUGACGCUGAGGAGCGAAAGCGUGGGGAGCGAACAGG
rnacentral:rRNA from 1 species